UACGAAGGGGGCUAGCGUUGCUCGGAAUCACUGGGCGUAAAGCGCACGUAGGCGGAUUGUUAAGUCAGGGGUGAAAUCCUGGAGCUCAACUCCAGAACUGCCUUUGAUACUGACGGUCUUGAGUUCGGGAGAGGAUGGUGGAAUUCCCAGUGUAGAGGUGAAAUUCGUAGAUAUUGGGAAGAACACCGAUGGCGAAGGCAGCCAUCUGGACCGACACUGACGCUGAGGCGCGAAAGCGUGGGGAGCAAACAGG
rnacentral:rRNA from 1 species